UGCCCCAUGGCUUAAUUGGCUAUAGCGUCCGACUGUUAUCUUUAGAAGAUUGUAAUCGGAAGCUCGAGAGUUUGAGCCGCUCUGGGGCAG
rfam:Sphaerobolus stellatus SS14 unplaced genomic scaffold SPHSTscaffold_33, whole genome shotgun sequence.